rnacentral:rRNA from 1 species
AGUGAACGCUGGCGGUAGGCCUAACACAUGCAAGUCGAACGGCAGCACAGGAGAGCUUGCUCUCUGGGUGGCGAGUGGCGGACGGGUGAGGAAUACAUCGGAAUCUACUCUGUCGUGGGGGAUAACGUAGGGAAACUUACGCUAAUACCGCAUACGACCUACGGGUGAAAGCAGGGGAUCUUCGGACCUUGCGCGAUUGAAUGAGUCGAUGUCGGAUUAGCUAGUUGGCGGGGUAAAGGCCCACCAAGGCGACGAUCCGUAGCUGGUCUGAGAGGAUGAUCAGCCACACUGGAACUGAGACGCGGUCCAGACUCCUACGGGAGGCAGCAGUGGGGGAUAUUGGACAAUGGGCGCAAGCCUGAUCCAGCCAUACCGCGUGGGUGAAGAAGGCCUUCGGGUUGUAAAGCCCUUUUGUUGGGAAAGAAAUCCAGCUGGCUAAUACCCGGUUGGGAUGACGGUACCCAAAGAAUAAGCACCGGCUAACUUCGUGCCAGCCGCCGCCGUAA